AUACGGAGGGUGCAAGCGUUAAUCGGAAUUACUGGGCGUAAAGAGUACGUAGGUGGUUUAUUAAGUCAGAUGUGAGAGCCCCGGGCUCAACCGGGGAACUGCAUUUGAAACUGAUAAGCUAGGGUAUGGUAGAGGGGGGUAGAAUUUCUAGUGUAGCGGUGAAAUGCGUAGAUAAUAGAAGGAAUACCAGUGGCGAAGGCGGCCCCCUGGAACAAUACUGACACUGAGGUACGAAAGCGUGGGGAGCGAACAGGAUUAGAAACCCUAGUAGUCC
rnacentral:rRNA from 1 species